UACGGGGGGAGCAAGCGUUGUUCGGAUUUACUGGGCGUAAAGGGCGCGUAGGCGGCCACCGCAAGUCAAUUGUGAAAUCUCCGGGCUUAACUCGGAACUGCCAAGUGAAACUGUCAGGCUAGAGUGCAGAAGGGGCAAUCGGAAUUCUUGGUGUAGCGGUGAAAUGCGUAGAUAUCAAGAGGAACACCUGAGGUGAAGACGGGUUGCUGGGCUGACACUGACGCUGAGGCGCGAAAGCCAGGGGAGCAAACGGG
rnacentral:rRNA from 1 species